GCUGUACAUAAAGGUCUAUCCGAUUAAUCUUAUUGCCUAUAUGCCCUAUUAUAAGUCUAUUACAGCAUGAUAUCCACUAUUAUUGAGGUCAGAUUUGCUUUUAGUGAGUAAUUAUUGUGUGACAGAUAUAAAACGUUUAAAUCCCAAAGUGUGUUGUGCUUUUCUGUCUGGAACCCUUCUUUCGCCAUAUGGGGGUUUAUAUACCAUAGAGAGGCUUUGCAUUGAGUGGGGGCCCAAUGUUAUGUCAAGUGAUUGGCUCAGUGGUGUGUUUGUAGCUCCAGGCUGGAAGGUAUUUCCUGAUUGGAUGUUUUGAGCAGUGCGGGUCACUGUGGCAGCAGGGACAGGCACAAGCAUAGGCAUUCACUGGCUGUGUAAGAACAGUGACUGUUCUUCAGCCCAACUACUUACAUGUGGAGUCUUGGAAGCCUGGGCUGCUGCAGUGACUUGAGACUGCUAUGGCCGUGCCCCAGCUUGGAUUACUAUUCUCUCUUAUCUUCACAGCUCUCAUUUCACUACACAGUAAGCUCUCUAUGGUUUGUGACUGGAUUUGUGAUUUGACUUAUUCACAUAGUUGGUUCUCGUUUCAGACAGGGAUAACUGACCGUGCUUUUCAGGUGAAUAAUGGACAGUAACUGAUGGUCCUUUUUGAAAGCGGAGAACAUGAGCGAAUUCAUUAGAAGUUAGACAUUGGUAUGGAGUGAAUUAAAAGUUAUGUUGGAGAUUGUCAGUGAGUUUUCAGGCUUGUUUGAAGGGUUUUGUGUGUAGAUGUUGCGAUUUUGAUGUGUUUCUGCAGUAGGUAAUUGCCUUCAGAUGGAUCAACAACUCUGCCGCCCAGAAUGCAUUGCUUCCUCAUCCCCUGACAAGUCGUACCAGAGAGGGGUGAGAUACACGUACAGGUACAGCUCGACGAUAACCACGACUCUACAAGGCUCUACCUCGGGCAGAAAUGGACUGGCUCUCGACUGUGUGGUGGACAUUGACGUGAUUUCCAAGUGUCACCUCAUGAUGCAGAUCAGGAAUCCACAGAUAAAACGUCUUUCUCCCCAGAAGGAACAUUCUGUGCAACGCCUAAAGAGUUUGAGGGAGUCGCUGGAGAGGAGUCGCCUCAAGUUCUCCCUCCAGGGGGGAAAGGUCACGGCCCUCUGUCCACAGGAGGGGGAGCAGCUGUGGACUCUGAACAUCAAGAGAGCUCUACUGAGCAUGCUCCAGACCUCCCGCACCGCCGAGAAGCAGGAAGUAGUGAAGGAGACGGAUCUGUACGGGACCUGCACGAGUAAGUAUGAGAGGAGAGGGCCUCUACUGGUGAAGACGAGGAACCUCAGGCAGUGUCAACAGGACCGACUGGCUUACUUCUGGCCCAAUUCCACCCCUCUGAGAGAGGACACGGUGAGAUCUUCUACCAUCCUCUCCCCCCCUCAACAUGGAACAGUCAAUGGUUACCAUAGUCACAACCAAUCACUGAUGUCUUUCUCUUGCAUUGAUAUUGGGACAUGCAGUGCAUAAUGAAAUCCAGAAGUGCUAGGGACUGAUGCCCAUUUCUGUGACUUGGAAACCUUCUAGUGAAAGUUUGGUUCGUAAAGGAUCUGUUAGAUUGUCAGUAGGUUUCAGAUGGAUCUAAAAAUUGGUAGCCUGAGUCCCAGAUCGUUUUGUGCUGUCUUGCCAACUCCAUUGCUGUCAUGGCGUGACAAAGACAGCACAAACAGAUAUGGGACUCAGGCUGAACCAUUUGUGUCAAAUAAGCAAAAUGCCGUACCUUCCACCAGUAUCUUGUGUAACCUCAAUCCAGUUAACACUUCCACUUUUACCAAGGGGUGUUCCUAUCUCUUAUGUCCACUUCAGACAGUGGACUCCAAACUCCAAUGUACCCAGCGGCAUGGGACUACAGUGAUGGAGGAGGUCAACUGCACAGAGAUCAUCUCCAUGGUACCAUUGUCAGGGUCAACAGGAGUGGUGAAGACCCAGACCGUCUCUACCCUUACGCUGCUCAGAGCCCAGAAAGGCACACCCUCAGGAGUGGGUGUGUAUGCUUCUGAUUCCCUCCUCAGGACUGGCUGAGUAUAGGCUAUACUGUAGUAUACCUGAAUGACUGUGUCACUGUGUACCCGUCUGACA
rnacentral:lncRNA from 13 species